UCUACAUCCAGCAGCCUUCUUACAUUCUUGUAUCUUGCUCUUUUUAGCUGCUUGUUCGUGGCUCGGUGAAGUGUGUGGACGACUAUAUCUGUUAUAAAAAGUUGUGCCAGAAGCUAUCACAGACGCAAGAAAUAUUUUGCUAUCUUCCAAAGGCACUUUGCAGGUUUCUUCGCAAAUAUCUAAGAAGAAGGAAGACCCUGGAGCAACUACUUUGUUGAUGUGAGCAAUCUAUAGCAGCUGGAAAAGGGACAGCCACAGUUAUCAGACGGGCAACGCUGGACGAUGUUAAGCCAGAUGUUCUACGCUGUUUUUGUGUUCAGAUGGAUAAGCCCAACUGUCGUAGAAUGUUCAAGUUGUGAAGAGAACGGGCAAACAGUUCUCUGCACUGAAGAUUCUUGAAAAAGAGGAGACAUUUGUGCAAGUUUUAACGUCGAGACAGCCAUCGUUUAUAGACAAUUGCCAUUGUCUGCAAUCCGAAUACGUUGGAUAUAUUUCACCACGGCAAAUAGAGCGAACCGUGUCGUGUUACAUGGCCAUUCAAUUUGGACAUUUUCAGAACGCAAUGAUGAAAGUCACGAUGAAUGUUAUGAUCUUGGUAGAGAAAGAAGGCAGCGCCACAUCACUCAGCCUCCUCAGAUUAGGUUCCAGUCAGCUUCCGUUUCAUCUUCCCCAUAAAGUCACUGUGCUUUAUGCCAACCCUCAGUGCAUUGUACUGCAGUAUACCGUAGCUACAAACGAGGAAAAGAGCUGCUCUGUUUGGGAGCCAGUGAAAGCUUCAGGAGAAAAUGAGACAGGCUGCUUUCACACCUUCUACAAAUACUGUGGAGCUGAAGUAGUGUUCUCAUUUCUCGAACGUCGUCAUCGCUGCAAGAUACAUGACCAGCUAGCUCAAGAGGCGCCGCGACACAGUCAAUUAAACUGAGGUCAAUAAUAAAUGCGUUUGUGUACCUGGACUACUGACCCUGAAA
rnacentral:misc_RNA from 1 species